UCCUCCGUAGCGCAAUGGUUAGUGCGACGGCCUGUGAAUCCGAAGACCCGGGUUCGAUUCCCGGCGGAGAAU